CCUACGGGAGGCAGCAGUGGGGAAUAUUGGGCAAUGGGAGGAAUCCUGACCCAGCGACGCCGCGUGAACGAAGAAGGCCUUCGGGUCGUAAAGUUCUUUUAUGUGGGAAGAAUUAAGUGACGGUACCACAUGAAUAAGCCCCGGCUAACUACGUGCCAGCAGCCGCGGUAAUACGUAGGGGGCGAGCGUUGUCCGGAAUUACUGGGCGUAAAGGGCACGCAGGCUGUGCUUCAAGUCAGCUGUUAAAGGAUGCGGCUUAACCGUGUUAUGCAGUUGAGACUGAGGUGCUGGAGUGCCGUAGAGGCAAGUGGAAUUCCCAGUGUAGCGGUGAAAUGCGUAGAUAUUGGGAAGAACAUCGGUGGCGAAGGCGACUUGCUGGACGGUAACUGACGCUGAGGUGCGAAAGCCAGGGGAGCAAACGGGAUUAGAUACCCGGGUAGUC
rnacentral:rRNA from 1 species